UACGUAGGGCGCAAGCGUUAUCCGGAAUUAUUGGGCGUAAAGAGCUCGUAGGCGGUUUAUCGCGUCUGCCGUGAAAGUCCGGGGCUCAACUCCGGAUUUGCGGUGGGUACGGGCAGACUAGAGUGAUGUAGGGGAGACUGGAAUUCCUGGUGUAGCGGUGAAAUGCGCAGAUAUCAGGAGGAACACCGAUGGCGAAGGCAGGUCUCUGGGCAUUAACUGACGCUGAGGAGCGAAAGCGUGGGGAGCGAACAGG
rnacentral:rRNA from 1 species